rnacentral:rRNA from 1 species
GACGUAGGGCGCGAGCGUUGUCCGGAUUUAUUGGGCGUAAAGAGCUCGUAGGCGGCUUGUUACGUCGACUGUGAAAACCCGCAGCUUAACUGCGGGCUUGCGGUUGAUACGGGCGGGCUAGAGUUCGGUAGGGGGAGACUGGAAUUCCUGGUGUAGCGGUGAAAUGCGCAGAUAUCAGGAGGAACACCGGUGGCGAAGGCGAGUCUCUGGGCCGAUACUGACGCUGAGGAGCGAAAGCGUGGGGAGCGAACAGG